GUUGUUGUCUCAAGAGAAAAUUAUACAAAGCUAUUAAAAACUUCUCCAGGAAGGUGCAUGGAUUUUUCUGUCAGAGAGAGCCUCAGCAGCCAGUUUGCCACAAGCAGCGAAGGCUUCAGUAAACAAGGCGCUGGAAAUGUGAUGUGGAUGAUGGAACUUAAAGAUAUCCCAGCAAAAGUGGAGAAGCAACUUUUGUUGUCAUAGUAUCUCCUUUUGUAUAAAAAUCGAUGGUAUGCCAUUAUUAUUACUAUAGGGAUACUUUAACAAAAGCUUGUUAUCUCUUGCUUCUGUCAGUGAACUUUGAGAAAGGUCAUCAUAGUGGAUUAUUUUCCCUAUAUAUUUGAAGGAUGUUUUUAUUUAAGUAGUGGCAGCAACACAAAAAAUAAAUCACAGUGCAUAUUAAGAUGAUCUAUGGAAACAAAGUAAUUUGUUUCCAAUGAACAAGUCAUUCCCCAAAUCAAGAAUUUUUUUCUUCUUUUGGGUUCAGUGACAGUUGUGUUGAUAACAUGGUACUCCUAUAUAAAAAGGGCAUUUUGAUCUUUUUUUCUCUUAUCGAGUUAGCUAAAUCAGAAACACACAAAGAAAGGAAAUUUAUAAUCAAAGGCUGUACCAAAAACAUUCCAUGUGACAAUAACAGGUUCAACUAAGUAAAACAAUUAUUAUUAAUUUAGUAAGUUUGCUACCAAUUAUUGCCUAGAGAAAAGGCGAAUUGGAUAAAUGAUUCUAAAAUAAAUUGUCGCACAGCGAAUGGAAAUACACAUUCAAACCAUCAUUGUGCUGCACCAAAAGGCUACAGAAGUUUAUACUGUGAGUUUCUCAAUCCAAUUAAAUAAGGGGAAGAUUUGUGUCACUUCCAUAUAUUGGCAGGCUAUAAUUUUGUUUUGGUCAAUAAUUUCAUCAUUGUUGAUUUAUGUGUUCGAGCUUUAUAUUUUAUCUGUGUUCAUUUUUAAAAAAUAGCACAUCUAGGUAUGAAAUCUGCAUUCUUUUCCUACGUACACAGCUAUGAAAGCACAUUACACAGUAGAAACAUAAUUAUCCUUAUAGAAUCCUGUUGAUUCAGAAAGAACUUGUCUCUGAUGAAAGGCUAAGUUCUAGAUAUAUGACCUUCCCUGUCUACUUGAGUUUUCCUUGGCACAGCAUUUAUGUGUCGGAGCUCACAAAUGAAUACAGUUACAUAGUAUAGAUUUCCCUGUUACAAAUAGUUCAAACACUAGGGUUCCACCUAGAAGGCUCCAUCAAAACUUUUUUCUGAAAUGAACACACAUUUCUCAGACAAAGAAGUAAAAGCAGCAAGUAAAUAUAUGAA